rnacentral:rRNA from 1 species
CGGGGCCUACGGGAGGCAGCAGUGGGGGAUAUUGGACAAUGGGGGAAACCCUGAUCCAGCGACGCCGCGUGAGUGAAGAAGUAUUUCGGUAUGUAAAGCUCUGUCAGCAGGGAAGAAAGAAAUGACGGUACCUGACUAAGAAGCCCCGGCUAACUACGUGUCAGCAGCCGCGGUAAUACGUAGGGGGCAAGCGUUAUCCGGAUUUACUGGGUGUAAAGGGAGCGUAGACGGUUACGCAAGUCUGGAGUGAAAGGCGGGGGCCCAACCCCCGGACUGCUUUGGAAACUGUGCGGCUGGAGUGCAGG